AUCCUACUACCUCCAUCCUAAAAUUCUUGUCUUAGAUUUAUCUAGAUAUAAAUGUAUCUAGUCACGUUUUAGUAUUUAGAUACAUCUAUUUCUACACAAAUCUAAAAUAAAAAAAUUAGAAUGGAGGAAGUACAUG
rfam:Hordeum vulgare subsp. vulgare, WGS project CAJW01000000 data, contig: morex_contig_8288